rnacentral:tRNA from 1 species
GGGCCUAUAGCUCAGCUGGCUAGAGCGCAUCAUUUGCAAUGAUGAGGCCGCCGGUUCGAGUCCGGCUAGGUCCA